ACGAACGCUGGCGGCGUGGAUAAGACAUGCAAGUCGAACGAGAGAAUUGCUAGCUUGCUAAUAAUUCUCUAGUGGCGCACGGGUGAGUAACACGUGAGUAACCUGCCCCCGAGAGCGGGAUAGCCCUGGGAAACUGGGAUUAAUACCGCAUAGUAUCGAAAGAUUAAAGCAGCAAUGCGCUUGGGGAUGGGCUCGCGGCCUAUUAGUUAGUUGGUGAGGUAACGGCUCACCAAGGCGAUGACGGGUAGCCGGUCUGAGAGGAUGUCCGGCCACACUGGAACUGAGACACGGUCCAGACACCUACGGGUGGCAGCAGUCGAGAAUCAUUCACAAUGGGGGAAACCCUGAUGGUGCGACGCCGCGUGGGGGAAUGAAGGUCUUCGGAUUGUAAACCCCUGUCAUGUGGGAGCAAAUUAAAAAGAUAGUACCACGAGAGGAAGAGACGGCUAACUCUGUGCCAGCAGCCGCGGUAAUACAGAGGUCUCAAGCGUUGUUCGGAAUCACUGGGCGUAAAGCGUGCGUAGGCUGUUUCGUAAGUCGUGUGUGAAAGGCGCGGGCUCAACCCGCGGACGGCACAUGAUACUGCGAGACUAGAGUAAUGGAGGGGGAACCGGAAUUCUCGGUGUAGCAGUGAAAUGCGUAGAUAUCGAGAGGAACACUCGUGGCGAAGGCGGGUUCCUGGACAUUAACUGACGCUGAGGCACGAAGGCCAGGGGAGCGAAAGGGAUUAGAUACCCCUGUAGUCCUGGCAGUAAACGGUGCACGCUUGGUGUGCGGGGAAUCGACCCCCUGCGUGCCGGAGCUAACGCGUUAAGCGUGCCGCCUGGGGAGUACGGUCGCAAGAUUAAAACUCAAAGAAAUUGACGGGGACCCGCACAAGCGGUGGAGUAUGUGGCUUAAUUCGAUGCAACGCGAAGAACCUUACCUGGGCUUGACAUGUAAUGAACAACAUGUGAAAGCAUGCGACUCUUCGGAGGCGUUACACAGGUGCUGCAUGGCCGUCGUCAGCUCGUGUCGUGAGAUGUUUGGUUAAGUCCAGCAACGAGCGCAACCCCUGUUGCCAGUUACCAGCACGUGAAGGUGGGGACUCUGGCGAGACUGCCCAGAUCAACUGGGAGGAAGGUGGGGACGACGUCAGGUCAGUAUGGCCCUUAUGCCCAGGGCUGCACACGUACUACAAUGCCCAGUACAGAGGGGGCCGAAGCCGCGAGGCGGAGGAAAUCCUAAAAACUGGGCCCAGUUCGGACUGUAGGCUGCAACCCGCCUACACGAAGCCGGAAUCGCUAGUAAUGGCGCAUCAGCUACGGCGCCGUGAAUACGUUCCCGGGUCUUGUACACACCGCCCGUCACAUCAUGGAAGCCGGUCGCACCCGAAGUAUCUGAAGCCAACCGCAAGGAGGCAGGGUCCUAAGGUGAGACUGGUAACUGGGAUG
rnacentral:rRNA from 1 species